rnacentral:rRNA from 1 species
UACGUAGGGUGCAAGCGUUAUCCGGAUUCACUGGGUUUAAAGGGUGCGUAGGAGGGCAGGUAAGUCAGUGGUGAAAUCUCCAAGCUUAACUUGGAAACUGCCGUUGAUACUAUCUGUCUUGAAUACCGUGGAGGUGAGCGGAAUAUGUCAUGUAGCGGUGAAAUGCUUAGAUAUGACAUAGAACACCAAUUGCGAAGGCAGCUCGCUACACGAAUAUUGACUCUGAGGCACGAAAGCGUGGGGAUCAAACAGG